rnacentral:rRNA from 1 species
UACGUAGGGGGCAAGCGUUAUCCGGAAUUACUGGGUGUAAAGGGUGCGUAGGUGGUAUGGCAAGUCAGAAGUGAAAACCCAGGGCUUAACUCUGGGACUGCUUUUGAAACUGUCAGACUAGAGUGCAAGAGAGGUAAGCGGAAUUCCUAGUGUAGCGGUGAAAUGCGUAGAUAUUAGGAGGAACAUCAGUGGCGAAGGCGGCUUACUGGACUGAAACUGACACUGAGGCACGAAAGCGUGGGGAGCAAACAGG